AACGAACGCUGGCGGCAGGCUUAACACAUGCAAGUCGAACGGGUGUAGCAAUACAUCAGUGGCAGACGGGUGAGUAACACGUGGGAACCUUCCUAGGGGUACGGAACAACUCAGGGAAACUUGAGCUAAUACCGUAUACGUCCGUGAGGAGAAAGAAUUAUCGCCCUUAGACGGGCCCGCGUCGGAUUAGCUAGUUGGUGGGGUAACGGCCUACCAAGGCGACGAUCCGUAGCUGAUCUUAGAGGAUGAUCAGUCACACUGGGACUGAGACACGGCCCAGACUCCUACGGGAGGCAGCAGUGGGGAAUCUUGGACAAUGGGCGCAAGCCUGAUCCAGCCAUGCCGCGUGAGUGAAGAAGGUCUUCGGAUUGUAAAGCUCUUUUGCCAGGGACGAUAAUGACGGUACCUGGAGAAUAAGCCCCGGCAAACUUCGUGCCAGCAGCCGCCGUAA
rnacentral:rRNA from 1 species